rnacentral:rRNA from 1 species
GAUGAACGCUGGCGGCGUGCCUAAUACAUGCAAGUCGAGCGAACAGACGAGGAGCUUGCUCCUCUGACGUUAGCGGCGGACGGGUGAGUAACACGUGAAUAACCUACCUAUAAGACUGGGAUAACUUCGGGAAACCGGAGCUAAUACCGGAUAAUAUAUUGAACCGCAUGGUUCAAUAGUGAAAGACGGUUUUGCUGUCACUUAUAGAUGGAUCCGCGCCGCAUUAGCUAGUUGGUAAGGUAACGGCUUACCAAGGCAACGAUGCGUAGCCGACCUGAGAGGGUGAUCGGCCACACCGGAACUGAGACACGGUCCAGACUCCUACGGGAGGCAGCAGUAGGGAAUCUUCCGCAAUGGGCGAAAGCUUGACGGAGCAACGCCGCGUGAGUGAUGAAGGUCUUCGGAUCGUAAAACUCUGUUAUUAGGGAAGAACAAAUGUGUAAGUAACUAUGCACGUCUUGACGGUACCUAAUCAGAAAGCCACGGCUAACUACGUG